rnacentral:rRNA from 1 species
CAAUAGCGUAUAUUAAAGUUGUUGCAGUUAAAAAGCUCGUAGUUGGAUUUGUGGCGUACGGUGUGUUCCGGGCACUUGUUGUCUGAGUAACCUGCUGUUGCCAUCCUUGGGUGGAACCUGUGUGGCAUUAGGUUGUCGUGCAGGGGAUGCCCAUCAUUUACUGUGAAAAAAUUAGAGUGUUCAAAGCAGGCUUAUGCCGUUGAAUAUAUUAGCAUGGAAUAAUGAGAUAGGACUUUUUUGCUAUUCUGUUGGUUUGCGCAAAGAGGUAAUGAUUAAUAGGGACAGUUGGGGGUAUUCGUAUUCCAUAGUCAGAGGUGAAAUUCUUGGAUUUUGGAAGACGAACUACUGCGAAAGCAUUUACCAAGGAUGUUUUCAUUAA